rnacentral:rRNA from 1 species
UACGUAGGGGGCUAGCGUUGUCCGGAUUUAUUGGGCGUAAAGAGCUCGUAGGCGGCUUGGCAAGUCGAGUGUGAAACCUCCAGGCUCAACCUGGAGACGCCACUCGAUACUGCUAUGGCUAGAGUCCGGUAGGGGACCACGGAAUUCCUGGUGUAGCGGUGAAAUGCGCAGAUAUCAGGAGGAACACCGGUGGCGAAGGCGGUGGUCUGGGCCGGCACUGACGCUGAGGAGCGAAAGCGUGGGUAGCAAACAGG